AUGCACGCUGGCGGCGUGCCUAAUACAUGCCAGUCGAGCGAACAGAUGAGGAGCUUGCUCCUUUGACGUUAGCGGCGGACGGGUGAGUAACACGUAGGUAACCUACCUAUAAGACUGGGAUAACUUCGGGAAACCGGAACUAAUACCGGAUAAUAUUUCGAACUGCAUGGUUCGAUAGUGAAAGAUGGCUUUGCUAUCACUUAUAGAUGGACCUGCGCCGUAUUAGCUAGUUGGUAAGGUAACGGCUUACCAAGGCAACGAUACGUAGCCGACCUGAGAGGGUGAUCGGCCACACUGGAACUGAGACACGGUCCAGACUCCUACGGGAGGCAGCAGUAGGGAAUCUUCCGCAAUGGGCGAAAGCCUGACGGAGCAACGCCGCGUGAGUGAUGAAGGUCUUCGGAUCGUAAAACUCUGUUAUUAGGGAAGAACAAACGUGUAAGUAACUGUGCACGUCUUGACGGUACCUAAUCAGAAAGCCACGGCUAACUACGUG
rnacentral:rRNA from 1 species